UCUCCGUUGGUGAACCAGCGGAGGGAUCAUUACCGAGUGCAAACUCAUAACCCUUUGUGAACCUAUAUCUGUUGCUUCGGCGGCUCGCUCGCGGGCGAGCCCGCCGGUAAUAUCAGUAUCUCUGCUUGAACCCGACGAUACUUCUGAGUGUUCUUAGCGAACAGUUAAAACUUUUAACAACGGAUCUCUUGGCUCUA
rnacentral:misc_RNA from 1 species